GUCCACGCCGUAAACGAUGGGUGCUAGGUGUGGGGGGUGUCGACUCCCUCCGUGCCGAAGCUAACGCAUUAAGCACCCCGCCUGGGGAGUACGGCCGCAAGGCUAAAACUCAAAGGAAUUGACGGGGGCCCGCACAAGCAGCGGAGCAUGUUGUUUAAUUCGACGCGACGCGAAGAACCUUACAAAGGCUUGACAUGCACGGGAAUGUCGUGGAAACACGGCAGCCCUUCGGGGCUCGUGCACAGGUGGUGCAUGGCUGUCGU
rnacentral:rRNA from 1 species